UUCUUAGCAUAAAAGGAAAAUAAUUACCUGCAGAGAUACACCUGUAUUGAGAAAUGCACUUAGCAGUGUUUAAAUGUGUUUUUUGUUGUUAUCGUAGCUCCUUUUAUCACUAUCGGAAGGUGAUACAGCCAUAUUUAGAGAGUUGUGCAUAAAUUUAGUCAUUCAUAUUAUUAUUUUACACCAUGUUUACCACUUGUUUGAAAUAUAUAGCCUUAUAUUAUAGCAGGAAUAAGAGUUUACAGCUAAACUUGCUGAUAAACAUGUAAUUGUGGGAUAUGAGUAACGAAAAAACGCCUAAUUAUUUCUAAAAUGUUGCUAGAUGGAGUUUGAAGUCUGUGUACGACGCAAAAAUCGUGACUUUGUAGUGACCUUGUCGUACUUUAUUGUGUUUUUAAUCUCUUAUUACGUCGGUGUAUUACUCCUUUAAUAUUCACAUACGACAGUGAAGUGCUGAUUAUAAUUUUGCAGCAGUACUUUAGGCUAUUUUCAUCCCAAAAUAAGCCUCUGAAAUGAAUAAUAGAGUGAAAAUGUCUUUUUCACAAGGCUGACAUCAGCUGACAUUAAAUAAGCAGCGCGAUAGUGCAGGCUGCACACCCAGGCUGGUUGUAUAACGGGGCUUCACCUCAGCUGAACUUGACGCAUCUGGCGGCGCAGGACGCACGGCGCAGUCUGCGAGCCUGCGUGUCCCCAUUGAACCGAGCUGGAUGGCCGGGGAGAGAGACGCAGAGAAGGGGGGAAACACAACUUUUUAAUGGCCCCGGACACCGUCUCCCGACAUAUCCAACAUGACGACUUUUCCUACUUCCCAGCCUGCAAAUAUUGUCGCCGUGUGCUGGUUUUUUUUAUUGUCUGCUCUUUUUUUUUGGGUCCAGACACAGAGCAGAAGGCACCGUCUAGGAAAUAUAAAGUUGGGAGUUGGACACCCCGGAGGAAGAGACCAUCCAACUUGAACUUGAGACCUGUCGGGGUGCAGAGGACACACGCAAGACAUGGAAGCAGAAGGGCCCAGACACUGAAUUACAGAGAGGAUAUGUGGACAUACUGUGUGCAGCUACUGAGGGAUCCGGCACAAUGAACGGCGGAGAUUUCGGCGCUUUACCCUGAUAGCUGAUGGCUGUGUGUGUGCCAGUUGCCUCAAAGUCUCAGUGGGCUCAUUAUUUAGGAAUGAAGUCUGUUUUCCCGGUCAGACCUCAACGUGAAGGCAGAGGAAACCUGAGAGAAGGCGAGCUGACAGACCCGAAGCUGCAGACAGGAGGUGGCCAGUCAAGCAUAAGUGACAUACAGGAAGUACUUUGACAGCAUAUUCGCUCUUAGCAGAAUUAAGUCGUAAAUACGGAACAAUAAAAUCUCAGUUUAUGAUACAUAGUUAGAUGCAAAGUUCACAUACUGGAUGUGUCAUACAGACAUAAAAGGUCAUAAAAAAAAGUAUCUCACAUUUACAAUAAACCCUACCCUGUUUCCUGUUCAUUCAUUCAUAAUUUUACUUUGGAUCUGGAUGCUCCAGUUACUUAAAAGUUCUAAAAAGGCCUUAAAUGUUCAUUACAAUGAUUGAAUGGUGAAAAUUAAUUUUUACACCUCUUUCAGUCUAUUUGUGUUAACUGGUGAAGAUUUGUGUUGCACCACAGCUACAGUGUCUACUUUAAAAAUGAAUGAGAUGAGCUUAAUUUAAAAAAAAAUCUAAAUUAUCUGUGUGUUUGAAAAAAAUCUAUUUCUGCCUAUUUAUGUAAUAAUAAUAAUAAUAAUAAUGAUAAUAAUAAUGAUAGUGAAAGUUUGAGAAAUGGCCAAACAGUUAAAUAUGUUUCUAUAAGGAGUUUUACAUUGGUGGUUGCAAUCAUUUUGUAAUAUUUCCAUUUUUAUUACAUUUAUAAAUGCACACUUUGAAGUUUGUUGAUAGUUAUUUGUGUCCUUUCCUGCUUUCCUGAAGGCCGUUUGUCCCAGUUUCUUGUUUGCACCAUCAGCGUGUGUGACAUGAGAGACACCUGCAGGAGGUUAACUGUCCUUUGGGGUGAGGUAGUAGGUUGUAUAGUUUUAGGGUCAUUCCCAAGCUGUCAGAUGACUAUACAACUUACUGUCUUUCCUGAAGCGGCUGUAAAGGCAUCGUCGUCGUUGUUACCAUCGUCAUUGUCACAGAGGACAAUAUGACUUAUCCAUGUCUUUAUUGUUGUUUUUUUUUACUUUGACGUUGUGCUUUUCUCCUAUCUUUAAUGAUCUUAUCCCGCAAAUAUGACACACUAAAUUAACAAAAUAUUAGAGACGUUCUUUUCUUUUCAAGUGAGCUCAGCUGUAAAAAUGACAACUUGUUGUUUUCCUUUAUUAAAAUUAGACCAGUAAAUAGACGAGGAGAAGUUUAGAGAUGACCUGAAAGUUGUCAGACAGUUAAAAUGUUGUAUCAGUUGGUGCAAUGUGAUACAGGGAAGAUUUUCCUCACAAUUUUUGGAAUUUUAAAAUGAAUUUUUGUGGGGUUUUUUGGUUAUUAAUCUAAGUGUUGUUGGAAUGUAAAAACAUGGAAUGAAGAAAAUGCCCAUAUUAGUUCAUAUUUAAUUUGAAUAAUGGUUUUGAUUGUACAGAAAUCUAAAAUCUUAACUCGAAUGUUAUCACAAACCUCUCUGUAUCCUCUGUAACAACAACAGUGUAGUUCUGUCUUCAUUUGUGCAGCGAUGAGAUGAUCUCACAUCUACAUCCUACUCCUACUCCUCCUCCUCCUCCCCUCAUGGGUGACUUAUGGUGUUCGUACAGGGUGAGGUAGUAGGUUGUGUGGUUUCAGGGUUGUGAUUUUACCCCAUCAGGAGCUAACUAUACAACCUACUGCCUUCCCUGGAGGGCAGCAAUACAUCACAGGAGCACACGUCUUUGUCACCAUGUUCUAAACACCACAAAGGACUUUUGAUUUCAAAGGUUUCACUGAUGGGUGAGUGGUCCUGCAUCACAAUGUGCAUUUCAUAGCAACAUUUAUCACUUUAAAGACUUAGAACUGCUUACAGAAAGCACAGUUGGUCUGAGAAAUGUAACUUUUUUUUUAAUUUAUCAUUAAUGUUUUAACUGUACUGUUCAUUGAUGAAUAAAUAAAGACUGGAUAAGAAAUAAUACCAAAACAAA